CCCAUCUGGUUUGGGCUUAGUGUGACUAUCAUUUGUUUUUCAACAGGACAAUGACCCAACACACCUUCAGGCUGUGUAAGGGCUAUUUUACCAGGAAGGAGAGUGAUUGAGUGCUGCAUCAGAUGACCUGGCCUUCACAAUCCCCCAACCUCAACCAAAUUGAGAUGGUUUUGGAUGAGUCGGACCUCUGAGUGAAGCAGUCAACAAGUGCUCAGCAUAUGUGGGAACUCCUUCAAGACUGUUGGAAAAGCAUUCCAGGGACAUGAAUUGGGGAAAGGCAGAAUCUGUCUGAUGAAAGCAGCCAGAGCGGGACACCUGUGUACUGUACAGUUCCUAAUCAGCAAAGGUGCCAACAUCAACGCUUAGACAGAGGAGUCCAAGGAGACGACCCUGACUGGCCUUGCGUGGGGGCUUCCUGGACGUGGCUGACUUCCCCAUCAAGGCCGGGCUGACAUCGAGCUGGGCUCGACUACACCUCUCAUGGAGGCUGCACAGGAGCAACCCCUUGAGCUGAAUACCUGCUGGCUGCAGGAGCCCAUUUCUACACCACAAUGGUGGUAGGAGAGACAGCGUUGACAUUUACCUGUGAGAAGGGACACAGAGAUGUGGCUGAAAACAAGUACACACUAUAAACAAGUCUGCAAAUUGGUGUCCCUGAUAGUUGGAAGAUGGACAUGAGCGAGAUCUUAGAAUCGUCCUGCAGCGACGAGGACGUCACAGAAGGAAAGAAGAGGAGAAGGAAGUGCUCAGGGUGGUCACACCAUUGUGGUCUCCUACCUCAACAACAUCUUGUCAGUCCCCGCGACAGACCUAUCUCAGCUCACCCCCCCCCC